UACAGCAACAACUGGAAGAGGCUAGAAUGAUCUUUGAUGACAAGGAUGGAGUCAUUUCUAAUAAAGAUGUGGUCAUCAACCAGCAAACAUCAUCAAUUGAGGAGCUGACUGCCAUUGGACAGCAUCUGAGAGAGAAAGUUAAAGACCUGGAAGACCAGCUAGAUUUAGCAGUGGC